UGAUAGAGCUUGCUCUUCGAUUCAGCGGCGGACGGGUGAGUAAUGCCUAGGAAUCUGCCUGGUAGUGGGGGACAACGUUUCGAAAGGAACGCUAAUACCGCAUACGUCCUACGGGAGAAAGCAGGGGACCUUCGGGCCUUGCGCUAUCAGAUGAGCCUAGGUCGGAUUAGCUAGUUGGUGAGGUAAUGGCUCACCAAGGCGACGAUCCGUAACUGGUCUGARAGGAUGAUCAGUCACACUGGAACUGAGACACGGKCCAGACUCCUACGGGAGGCAGCAGUGGGGAAUAUUGGACAAUGGGCGAAAGCCUGAUCCAGCCAUGCCGCGUGUGUGAAGAAGGUCUUCGGAUUGUAAAGCACUUUAAGUUGGGAGGAAGGGCAUUAACCUAAUACGUUAGUGUUUUGACRUUACCGACAGAAUAAGCACCGGCUAACUCUGUGCCAGCAGCCGCGGUAAU
rnacentral:rRNA from 1 species